rnacentral:rRNA from 1 species
GACGAACGCUGGCGGCGUGCUUAACACAUGCAAGUCGAACGGUGAAGGGACCGGUUUUUGCUGGUUCUGGGUGAGUGGCGUACGGGUGAGUAACACGUGAGUAACCUGCCCCCUUCUUCUGGAUAACCGCAUGAAAGUGUGGCUAAUACGGGAUAUUCUGCGCCUGCUGCAUGGUGGGUGUGGGAAAGAUCUUGUUUCGGUGGGGGGUGGGCUCGCGGCCUAUCAGCUUGUUGGUGGGGUGAUGGCCUACCAAGGCGGUGACGGGUAGCCGGCCUGAGAGGGUGGACGGUCACACUGGGACGGAGACACGGCGCAGACUACUACGGGAGGCAGCAGUGGGGAAUAUUGCACAAUGGGCGCAAGCCGGAUGCAGCGGCGCCGCGGGAGGGAUGGUGGCCGUCGGGUUGUAAACCUCUUUCGCCAGUGAAGCAGGCCUGUCCCUUUUGUGGGUGGGUUGACGGUAGCUGGAGAAGAAGCGCCGGCUAACUACGUG